rnacentral:lncRNA from 1 species
UUCCCAGCUAGGCUUGAACUAGGUUGUGCUCUGCCUUCUUGUUUCAGUUCUCAUAUCAUGAAGAGCAAUGCUUUUUAUUGUCUAUUUAGUGACAUGUUUUACACGUUUUUGUCCAUGAUUUCACUCUUUGAAGUGGUCCCCAAGCAUGGUGCUAAGGUGCUAAGUUCCUAAGCACAAGGCGGCUGUGAUAAGCCCUCCAGGGAACAUAGGUGUGUUAUAUAAGCUUUGUUCAGGCAUGAGUUGUCAUGCUGUUGGCUACGGGUUCAAUGUUAAAAAGUUGUGUAGGACCAGAAGUUUCUUCAAUUUUUACCCUAUAUCUCCUCUGGAGAAGUGGUUCAAUAUUCCUCAAUUGAGUGUUUGAGACUAUAUAGAAUAUAAUGACUGCAAAUAACAUGAAUCCACUGUAGCCCUUUCCAAAUCCAUAGCCUCACACUAAGACCCAAGGAGCAGAAAGUCAAAGACAGAGGAUCCAGCUUCUAAGUUCAGCUGGAGAGAUAAAAGUCCAUCUUGUUCUGAUGACUUCAUGAAGAAGAUGUCACCAGCCCCUGUUCCUCCACCAUUGUUUAUGCAUGGAUGCAUCGUCCACCCCUCUUCAUCUAAAACAAGGUGGAAAGCGAAUUACCCGAAAGAUAAACCAGUUAUCUACACCAAGAAGUAUUAGAGAGAAAGAAAAAGGACACACAGAAUUGGGCACAAGAUGGUGCCAGGAAAGAAGUUAAUGCACAACACAGACUCCAAGACAUUAACCAAAGGUCAUGAAUCUGGCCCAAAGAGGGAGAGGAGGGGGAGAUGAGAAAAGGAAGCGGGUUAAGAUAUCCAUUCACGAGGCCCAGAGGUACACACGGCAGAGCAGCCCAGGUGUGUUCUCAGCACCAGCUGCUUCCCCUCCACCUAGAAAUCCUGAUGCCCAGGUCCUUUCAGGCCUUCAGUCUCAGCAGCUAAUCACCUCUGCUUCCUUGCUUCAUAUCAGCCACCCUGGUCUCCCUUUUGACCCAUGAACACACCAAGGUCAUCCCUGACUCAAGACCUUUGCACCUGUUUUUCCUUUUUCCUCAGAUCUUCACAUGUCCGACCUGUUCUUGCCAUUCGGGCUCAAAGUUCCAUUCCCAGAGAAGUGGUUUCUUACUGCCCACUUUGAAAGCAGCCUCUCUUCCCCCAAGCCCAAGGUGGGCCUGCUUCACCUUGCUCAGUUUUUCUCACAUGAAAAAUUUUAACUCACUUACUUGACAAUAUGUUUAUCAUGUGUCUCUUGCAUUCCAGAAAGUCUAUGAGCCCAAGACCUGGUCUGUAACCCCUAGGACUGAGUAUGGCACUGAGGAGGAGCCCUGGUGAAUGUUUGUUGAAUAACUGAACAAAAGCUGAUACUAAAACUAGGAGAAGCUUUUUCUGAAGGUUCUUCAUAACGGGACACUGAACCUUUUAUGAGAUGGAGAUAUCCUUAGCUGCAUCCUUACAGCGGUCUCGGCAAGGUGUCUCCAAGGACUCUUAAUCAGAGUCAGGUCAGCUGUGAGCAGGGAAUGAGGGGAACCCACCAUGAGGGGAACCCACUUUCAUCAGUUCCCCUUUCUCUCUGAAGGCAAUCUCACAUGCUGCAACCAAAGACCAUUAUGUUGUCCUCAGUAGAUUCAGAUCAAAGUUGGUGGCCACUGUCUGCCUACAAAAAAUCAUUUUUUAUGGAUGUGAAAAAUAACAAUCAAUUUGAAUUACUUGGACGAAGGCUUUGUGAAUUAAUUAAAAGGUGGCCUUUUGGAAUGCAUUUGAAAGAAAUUUCUUAUUAUUCAAUAGACACAUUGGCACAGUUGCUAAUAUAAGCGGAUGUCUUCUGGACCUAUUCAAGUUAUUCAAACAAAACUUUAGGAAUUAAUCCAUAAACUAUUAUGUGCAAAUUUGUGUUUGCUAAACCCACUGGAUAUGGUGUACUCUAGUGAGCAAUAAUACCUGUUUCAUCAAAUCUAAGAUAGAACUGAUCUGGAAAAAGUCAUGUAUCUUUAGGAAAGAAAAAAGCUGGCAAUUAUCUCAAUUGCAGGAUGUGUCUCAGAAUCUAUGAAAAAGUUAGUAGGGGCUAUCACUUAUUAAAGAUUAACUAUGACUUGGGUACUGCGCUAAGCAUUUUACUUAACAUUAUCUUUCAUUCCCUGCAAAAUACAAGGGGAUAGAUGCCUUUACCAACUACAUUUUAUAGAUGAUUAAGCCAAGGCUAGUUAUCCCAAUUCACAAAGCUAGUACAUGGCAUAGAGCCAGAUUAAGGUCAGAACUACCUGAUCCAGCAUCUGAGCUCCCAGUUCCCAUGUUAAAAUACCUUCUAUAGUCUUCUUUACUCCCUUAUUUUCCUAACGUGUCUACUCAGAUCAGACAGAUGAAACCUAGAGAAGUUAUUUGUCCACUAAAAGAGUCAAUCUGUCAGCCUGGAAGUACAAACAAAUUUUAAAAAAUAUGAUUUAGUUUUUUUGCCCUCUUAAGAUUAAAAUUUAUAAAUCCCUACACCUCUUUUGUUUAAAAUUUAAGAAUAUAAAAAUGUAUUCAGCCCCACAGAGGCACUCGAGAAGGGCCACUACUCAAAGGUGUGUCACUGAUUAUUAGAGGAAUGCAUUGAGAGAGAUCUAGUGCAGCCCAGAACCAACUUGUUCACUGUUGACAGAUGGUAUAAAAGCAAUUUUUAGCUCCAGUUUCUUUGAAUGAUGAAAAAUUCAUAAUAGUGACAUUCUCCCUGAGAAGAAACUAUAUUUAAAGGCAGCCAAGUGCCCUUCGUCUUUCAAUUUCCUUAAUUUAUUAAUUUCCAUUUCUUAUAAGAGCCAACAUAGGGUUCUCAUAAAUUUCACUAAUUUGUAUCAUAUAGCAAUUAAAGUGGACCAAUUCUUCCACAGAGGUUCCUUGAUCGGGAUGCACAUCAGAAUUACCUGGGGGCUUUCUCAAAUACAUAUGCUUGGCUCUCUCUCCAAAACAAAUAGCCUGGAAUUCCUAGGGACAAGCUGAGGCAUGCAUAUUUUGAAAUCCCUCUUCUGGAUAAUUCUAAUGCCAGGUCCAGGUUAAACUAUCUGGUACAUUUCACCAGAGCCAAAUGUCUGAAGGAAGUGGUAGCUAGAGACAGUGCAGAGCUAGCAGUCAAAAGACUUGGCUCAGAGUUCCUACUAUGGUGCAAUGGGAUCAGGAGCAUCUUAGGAGUGCUGGGACGCAGGUUCAAUCCCCAGCCCAGCACAGUGGGUUAAGGAUCUGGC